rnacentral:ncRNA from 1 species
ACCGAACAGGGCAAACCCGCCGCGAGGCGGGGACGCAAAGUUACCGGUCUCAGCCACGCGUCACGAAUGGCCGAGACAGCGGGACCGCCGGCA